rnacentral:rRNA from 2 species
CAUGUGGUUUAAUUCGAUGCAACGCGAAGAACCUUACCAGGUCUUGACAUCCCUGACAACCCGAGAGAUCGGGCGUUCCCCCUUCGGGGGACAGGGUGACAGGUGGUGCAUGGUUGUCGUCAGCUCGUGUCGUGAGAUGUUGGGUUAAGUCCCGCAACGAGCGCAACCCUUGUCUUUAGUUGCCAUCAUUCAGUUGGGCACUCUAGAGAGACUGCCGAGGACAACUCGGAGGAAGGUGGGGAUGACGUCAAAUCAUCAUGCCCCUUAUGUCCUGGGCUACACACGUGCUACAAUGGCUGGUACAAAGAGACGCAAGACCGCGAGGUGGAGCAAAUCUCAAAAACCAGUCCCAGUUCGGAUUGCAGGCUGCAACUCGCCUGCAUGAAGUCGGAGUUGCUAGUAAUCGCAGAUCAGAAUGCUGCGGUGAAUGCGUUCCCGGGUCUU